GUAGGGAAUAUUGGGCAAUGGAUGCAAGUCUGACCCAGCCAUCCCGCGUGCCGGAAGAAGGCCCUCUGGGUUGUAAACUUCUUUUAUCUGGGACGAAAAAAGGGUAUUCUUACUCACUUGACGGUACCAGAGGAAUAAGCACCGGCUAACUCCGUGCCAGCAGCCGCGGUAAUACGGAGGGUGCAAGCGUUAUCCGGAUUCACUGGGUUUAACGGGUGCGUAGGUGGGUAUUUAAGUCAGUGGUGAAAUCACCGAGCUUAACGCGGAAACUGCCAUUAAUACUAUAUACCUUGAAUGCGCUGGAGGUAAGAGGAAUAUGUCAUGUAGCGGUGAAAUGCUUAGAUAUGACAUAGAACACCAAUUGCGAAGGCAGCUUACUACGGGGUGAUUGACACUGAGGCACGAAAGCGUGGGAAGCAAACAGGAUUAGAUACCCCUGUAGUCC
rnacentral:rRNA from 1 species